GAGACGCUGGCGGCGUGCCUAAUACAUGCAAGUCGAACGGUCUUUUCUAUGGAAGCUUGCUUCCACUGAGAAGAUAGUGGCGAACGGGUGAGUAACACGUGGGUAACCUGCCCAUAAGAGGGGGAUAACAUCCGGAAACGGGUGCUAAUACCGCAUAGUUUUUCUUGAUUGCAUGAUUGAGAAAGGAAAGACGGCCUUUGUGCUGUCGCUUAUGGAUGGACCCGCGGCGUAUUAGUUAGUUGGUGAGGUAACGGCUCACCAAGACGAUGAUACGUAGCCGACCUGAGAGGGUGAUCGGCCACAUUGGGACUGAGACACGGCCCAAACUCCUACGGGAGGCAGCAGUAGGGAAUCUUCCGCAAUGGACGAAAGUCUGACGGAGCAACGCCGCGUGAGUGAAGAAAGGUUUUCGGAUCGUAAAACUCUGUUGUCAGAGAAGAACAAGUUGGAGAGUAACUGCUCCAGCCUUGACGGUAUCUGACCAGAAAGCCACGGCUAACUACGUGCCAGCCGCUGC
rnacentral:rRNA from 1 species